UAUAUCUUGGUGUAUGGUGCACGAUAGCUUUUGAUGCUGGAAGCGAAAGUUUAAUUCUUUUAGAUGUAA
rnacentral:tRNA from 1 species